GCAGAUAUGAAUGGGGAGCCUAGGGUGGGGGUAGGGUUGUUUCAAGUUUGAGAUCUUUUCAGUUUAGGGGCUAGGGUCGGGCAGGGGAUGGCUGACUGCCCAGAAAGUUAAUGCCAUCUUCCUCUUCUCUUUUCAGUAGUGAGCCUGAUGCCCCCAGACUACGCCCUUCCCCUGUCACCUGCACACCUAAAGAGGGGGAGACACCACCAUCCCCUGCAGCACUCUCCACUCCUCUUGCUCUGCCGUCCUUGUCAGCAUCCUCAUUGAGUUCCAGAGCUCCUCCACCUGCAGAAGUCAGGGUGCAGCCAGAGCUCAGCAGGACCCCUCAAGCGGCCCAGCAGACUGAGGCCCUGGCCAGCACUGGGAGUCAGGCCCAGUCUGCUCCAACCCCGGCCUGGGAUGAGGACACUGCACAGAUUGGCCCCAAGAGAAUUAGGAAAGCUGCCAAAAGAGAGCUGAUGCCUUGUGACUUCCCUGGCUGUGGAAGGAUCUUCUCCAACCGGCAGUAUUUGAAUCACCACAAAAAGUACCAGCACAUCCACCAGAAGUCUUUCUCCUGCCCAGAGCCAGCCUGUGGGAAGUCCUUCAACUUUAAGAAACACCUGAAGGAGCACAUGAAGCUGCACAGUGACACCCGGGACUACAUCUGUGAGUUCUGCGCCCGGUCUUUCCGCACUAGCAGCAACCUUGUCAUCCACAGACGUAUCCACACUGGAGAAAAACCCCUGCAGUGUGAGAUAUGCGGGUUUACCUGCCGCCAGAAGGCUUCCCUGAACUGGCACCAGCGCAAGCAUGCAGAGACGGUGGCUGCCUUGCGCUUCCCCUGUGAAUUCUGCGGCAAGCGCUUUGAGAAGCCAGACAGU
rnacentral:sRNA from 1 species